rnacentral:ncRNA from 2 species
UCAAUUCUUCGGGGCGAGGUGAAAUUCCUCACCGACGGUGAUAGUCCGUGAGUGCGUUAGCACUGAUUUGGUGAAAUUCCAAAACCGACAGUAUAGUCUGGAUGGGAGAAGGAUAGU